CCGGCGAACGGGUGCGUAACACGUGAACAACCUGCCCUCGUGUGGGGGAUAGCCAUGCUAACGCGUGGGUAAUACCGCAUACGUUCUUUAGGAGGAGUCUCCUGGGGAAGAAAGCUCUGGCGCACGGGGAGGGGUUCGCGGCCUAUCAGCUAGUUGGGGGGGUAACGGCCUCCCAAGGCGACGACGGGUAGCUGGUCUGAGAGGAUGGCCAGCCACAUUGGGACUGAGAUACGGCCCAG
rnacentral:rRNA from 1 species